rnacentral:lncRNA from 1 species
AGAACAUUCAAGGCACUGUUAUCAUAAUCUUCACUGUUCCUACUUUGUAUUUAUUUCAUGUACCAAAUACAGUGGAUAGAAAGGCACAGUUCCUGCUACUAGAUACCUUUCAUUUAUUCAUGGAACACACUGAAGAAAAAUAAAUGUGAACAAACGGAAAUAUUUGUAUCAAAAUUCUGCUGCCAUGGAUUGAUGACAGGCACAUGUUGGUCCUAUAAGAGGAAGAAAUGAAGAGAGAAAAUCAAAUGAGGCUUUUUUCUUGGCUUUGGAGAGCAAGACCAGAACUUUUGUACCACAUGACUAUUGUGGAUCUACUGGAGGCAGAGCAUUCUACCUGGCACCCAGGAUUUCCACUCUACACAAACCAUAAUAUUCUAUGCUCUUUGUGAAGUUCAG